rnacentral:lncRNA from 1 species
AAAGACAGAACCAGGCAGGAAUAUGUUGGUUGGUUGGUUUAAAGAGGAGGGUCGGAGGAUUCUUUAACUUCCCAAUUCCCACUAUUAGAAGCUACACCUAUGUGCAAUUCUUUAAUUUCACAUCUAUUUACUACUUUUAUAAAGAUAAAUAACUGCUUUCCUUGAGGAUAUCCUCAAUUAUUUUUCUUUUGCUUUUGCCCUUCUAUGUUUUAUUUUAUUACAAUUUUGCCUUUAUAAUUUUCUUUUCUUCUUUUUAUCUAUCCAAAAAAAUUUGACGAAUUCUUUACGAAUCGGUAAUUUCGCAUACAAAAAUGGAAACUAAUAAUAAUAAAGUUGUAAUUGCAAAAAUAAAUCUUCUUUUGUGAAAUUAUUGUUUUUUUUUGCAAAUGACUGUUUUUAGGGAUCGAUCAAGUAUUUUCCUUUUAAAAUUAUAUGAUUAUACCGAGUUGACUCAGGGUCCUACUCGAACAUACGCUAAACUUCUAAGGACAGGCUGACAGCCAGG